rnacentral:tRNA from 3 species
GCUGGCGUGGCGCAAUCGGUAGCGCACUUGUCUUGUAAACAAGGGGUUAGGGGUUCGAGUCCCCUCGCCAGCU